UUUUAAAUCUUUUUUAUUUUAUCUGAUUCUCUUUAAUCAUUUUUUAGUCCUCAUCCUUUUAUUUUAUUAUUAUUGUUUAUUUAUUUUUCUUUUGUCCAUAAUCCACACAACCUGUCACAUGCCUCAGAGGCGGAUCCAAUCCCAAACGCGUUUCGUCAUCCAAAUUCGAUUCAUUCCAAUCCAAAACCAAGUUUUAUGCUCUUUUGAACAAACCCUAGACUUAAACCUAGCACUAUAAAUAUAACCUGCAAAAUAACCAGAAACGGACGGAAAAAAGCCAGAGCACGCACAAGAAGCAAAACCAGCGAGGAACAACAUCAACUCGAAUCCGCACUUCCAAACCGGACACAUCACAGAACUGUCACCAACCACAACAACAUCAAAGACGAUUCACCGUCGCCGUCACGAGCAGCAGUGGCAGAACCGAAUUCAACAUCAACGAAGCAGCCAUCACAAAUCAGUCAAAGUUUGAGGUCCAAAUCGGAACAAAACCGAAUCAAAGAUUUAACAUAAAGGUAGUAUCCCUUUAAAACGUAGCAGCCAUCACAAAUCAUCGUGUUCUUCCUUUAGAACAGAGAGAGAGAAGAGAGCAUAGGGAAGUAGAGAUGGAAAAAUAUUUUGAAAUGAAUGAAAAAGGUUCUUACACCCUAUAUAUAU
rnacentral:lncRNA from 1 species